CUCCAGCUCCAUGGGGACAGAAAGCCCAGCACUCAGGACUCUUCCAGACCUCAACCUAUCUAUUUUGGAAAACUGAAUCUCCAGGAAAAUACAGCAACAGCCUCUAAUGCAUAGUUAGGGAAGGCCCAGGGUUCCAGCAACUUUCCAGGGCAACCACCUGACCAGUCCCCGCAGACCUCCCUUUCCAGCCACCUCCAGAGACUCCAAGUGUAGCUUCAUUCUCCAAAUAGCCACUCUGCUUCUCAGAUGAGUAAUAAACUAUGUGGUUGCGUAAGUCAGAAUUGCUCAAUAAUUUGAGAAGAUUCAUUCCCAGAAAAGCUCAAAGAUACACUAUGAAGAUACAAAUCACAUUCUGCAUUUACAGAAUUCUUGUGUUGACACUUACGUUAGUAAGAGAAGAAUUGCUAAAACAAUUUUUUUUCUUACCACGUCCCCCGAAAGCUUACUCUGUCUGCUGAGUGAGCUAUGACAGCAACACCAACUAUUUACUCAUUUCUCAUUACGUUUACAGUUGGCUGCAACUUCCAUUUCAUUUGCAGACCUGAGCAGAAUGCUGCUUUGUCUAUAAUUAAAAGAAACAUCCCAUUGAAAAGAUUCAGUUACCUACUGUCAACCAAGGUCAGAAAAUAGGCAUAGCGCUAGCCAUGGAGACCAUAGUGGUGGGCAACGCAGACACGACCCUGUCGUCACAAAACUUAAAGUUUAAAGAAGACAGACUAAUAAAAUAAUCACAGAAACGAAUAUCUGCUGCGAAGCAGUAGGAAGUGCCCUGCGGUCUGUUUCCCCUAGCAGAGACUGGCCUUGUGGCGGAAGACCCCCGCGCGUAGGGAGGGCCGGUGCGGCGACUCCGGGCGGGGCGCG
rnacentral:lncRNA from 1 species